GUCAACUUGGUGGUAUCCUGUAAUUCCAUUUUCUCACUUUAAGGACUUUGCUAGCCGUAGACGCUAAAUUAUUUACUAUCACUCCAUUCCUAAAAUAUCCGCUACUAAAACAGCUUUGACUUUCUUCAUCGCGGAAUUCGAACGGUACACCAAAUAAUUAUUAUCCGUCCUAUAAAUAAAAGAUCACAUCUUUCUUUAAACAAUCGGCAAAUUGUAUUUGAGGGA
rnacentral:lncRNA from 1 species